CCUCUCGAGACAUCGUGUUGAAGGUUCUUUAUUUUCCGUUCUUUUCCGCUUGGAUACCAAAGAGGAAGGACGUAGUGAACUUCCUCGGCGCUUGGAGACAGUCAGCCUUGUUGAAAUAAAAUAAUUUACUCAACGCUGAAAUAAGGCCGUUUGAACAACUUAUAAGAAGGAAAUUACAUUUCCUCGUGUAUGUGAACCGGAGGAUUGGAGCCUGCAUCCACCCAAGUUCACAUUUGAAUCAAAACUUCCGUCUUGGCUGGGUUUUUUGUUUCCUCCUUUCAUUCCUUUCAUUGGAUGUGGAUGAAGAAUUCGAAACUGGAUAAAGACUUUUCCAACAGAUGAAUAUGGCGAGCUAAUGCCCGGAAACCAACUGAUUUGAAUUUAGACAGACUGUCUGCUGGAGGGGGUGAAAGGGUGGCUUCUGGAGCAGUGAUGGUUGAAGAUCCUCCGCAACGGCAAGUGCGAGUCCAGGUCGCCGAACUCGCAUAACAAAAACAGAUGUUGGCUGACAGGCGGCACCAUUCGUCAUUUAAGCACGGAAGCCAAAGAGGCUGCAGGGUGUCACCAUAAGUCAUUGUCACUGCACCAUGGAAAGAAAUAAGACAUCCAAAUGUUUCAAUAGUCCCUCAAGCCACAGUGACGUGUGAUGCAGACCUAUGAGCAAUCAUACCAAUGAGUAUUAAGGCAGGGGAGAUGCAAGUGUAAGUUUACAAAGAUAAAAUAUUUUCUGAAGUUAUAAUAUGAAUCUGCAUUUUAAAAAGUAAAAUGUAUUUCAUAUUUAUAUAAAUAUUUGAAAGAUUAUUAAAGAUGGUGAUGAUGAUUUUACUAUUGUUAUUAAUAUCAAAUUCAACCAAAUAGUUA